CCUACGGGAGGCAGCAGUGGGGAAUAUUGCGCAAUGGGCGAAAGCCUGACGCAGCGACGCCGCGUGAGGGAUGAAGGUCUUCGGAUUGUAAACCCCUGUUAGCAGGGAAGAACGGUCACUGUGCUAAUCAGCAGUGAAUUGACGGUACCUGCAAAGGAAGCAUCGGCUAACUCCGUGCCAGCAGCCGCGGUAAUACGGAGGGUGCGAGCGUUAAUCGGAAUUACUGGGCGUAAAGCGCUCGUAGGCGGUAUGUCAAGUCAAGGGUGAAAUCCCCGCGCGCAACGUGGGAACUGCCUUUGAAACUGGCAAACUGGAGUGUGAGAGAGGAUAGUGGAAUGCCAGGUGUAGGAGUGAAAUGCGUAGAUAUAUGGAAGAACAUCAGUGGCGAAGGCAGCUAUCUGGCACAUAACUGACGCUGAGGAGCGAAAGCGUGGGUAGCAAACAGGAUUAGAUACCCUUGUAGUC
rnacentral:rRNA from 1 species